UACGUAGGGGGCGAGCGUUGUCCGGAAUUAUUGGGCGUAAAGCGCGUGCAGGCGGUUUUUUUAGUUCGUGGUGAAAGACCGGGGCUCAACCCCGGAGCGUCCGCGAAGACUGGAAGACUGGAGUGUCGGAGAGGAGUGCGGAAUACCAGGUGUAGCGGUGGAAUGCGUAGAGAUCUGGUGGAACACCGAUGGCGAAGGCAGCACUCUGGCCGAAGACUGACGCUGAGACGCGAAAGCGUGGGGAGCGAACGGG
rnacentral:rRNA from 1 species